rnacentral:rRNA from 1 species
CCCUUAGAUGUCCUGGGCCGCACGCGCGCUACACUGACGGAGGCAGCGAGCUUACCCCUUUGCCGAAAGGCAUGGGAAAUCUUUUGAAUCUCCGUCGUGCUGGGGAUAGAUCAUUGCAAUUAUUGAUCUUGAACGAGGAAUUCCUAGUAAGCGCAAGUCAUCAACUUGCGUUGAUUACGUCCCUGCCCUUUGUACGCACCGCCCGUCGCUCCUACCGAUUGAAUGAUCAGGUGAGCCAUUCGGACCUUCAUCAUGCCGGUUUCCGGUUUUGAUGAGGGAAAGUCUUGCGAACCUUAUCAUUUAGAGGAAGGAGAAGUCGUAACA